AUUGAACGCUGGCGGCAGGCCUAACACAUGCAAGUCGAGCGGAUGACGGGAGCUUGCUCCUUGAUUCAGCGGCGGACGGGUGAGUAAUGCCUAGGAAUCUGCCUGGUAGUGGGGGACAACGUUUCGAAAGGAACGCUAAUACCGCAUACGUCCUACGGGAGAAAGCAGGGGACCUUCGGGCCUUGCGCUAUCAGAUGAGCCUAGGUCGGAUUAGCUAGUUGGUGGGGUAAUGGCUCACCAAGGCGACGAUCCGUAACUGGUCUGAGAGGAUGAUCUGUCACACUGGAACUGAGACAAGGUCCAGACUCCUACGGGAGGCAGCAGUGGGGAAUAUUGGACAAUGGGCGAAAGCCUGAUCCAGCCAUGCCGCGUGUGUGAAGAAGGUCUUCGGAUUGUAAAGCACUUUAAGUUGGGAGGAAGGGCAGUAAGUUAAUACCUUGCUGUUUUGACGUUACCGACAGAAUAAGCACCGGCUAACUCUGUGCCAGCCGCCGCGGUAA
rnacentral:rRNA from 1 species